UGAUCGCUGUGAGCACACACAUUUAUAGGAAGAGCUUGUGUAGGUUACUUUGGAAGAUGCUGAGAUCGAUUAAAUGCUAGAGAGUGGAAGGAGUAUAAUCACGUAAAUGCUAGGAUUAAAGAAGUAGGUAAAUGAAAGUUUCAGACGUUACAGAGGCGUCUUGAUCCGAAGGGAGACGACUGUUGUGUUAUUUAUCUCAAACUUACAGACGUGGGCCUAACCAAAACGUAAGUAUAAAGCCCAAUUCCAGAUAACUUAUUUCACGACGAUAAACGUGAGAUGAUUAAUUCCGCUAGGUGUCCAAAUUUGCCCCAUGAAGCACUGAUAACGUGGCAGCAGGAGAAGAGAGAAAAGCUUGUUUUAUUGUUAUAGAUAUUAAAAAUAUAUUCAGUUUAAAAUUAACAACAAGAAAAGGACGGGCUUUCUAGUUUCCAUGCAACUUAGUAAUUAGUUUUGGGGCUGUUCAAUAUGGUAAAACCGAACCGUACCGAACCGAACCGAACCGGAAUAGACAAUAUGGUUUGGUUUU
rnacentral:lncRNA from 1 species